AAGGAUCAUUACCAAACACUCCUCUCACGAGGACCAUCAUAUCCUGUGCAUUGUCAUCCCCCAGGGUUUCAUACCCGCACCCACUUUCAAGAGAGACCUUCCCGGUGGCUGCGGAGACGGGGUAACUCCCCGCACGCCGGUCGCUUGAUUGUGGCUAAACAGUUUCUGGUUCGGAAGGGCCACUGGGGCUAACUUUUUUCAACCUUUCAACAAACGAUUAAUGCAAAGGCACUUCUUUUGGAGUGCCCGGUGUUGUGUAACCACAGCGCCCGCAAUAUAAACAACUUUCAGCAACGGAUGUCUUGGCUCCC
rnacentral:misc_RNA from 1 species